rnacentral:rRNA from 1 species
GUGAGGUAAUGGCUCACCAAGGCGACGACGGGUAGCCGGCCUGAGAGGGUGACCGGCCACACUGGGACUGAGACACGGCCCAGACUCCUACGGGGGGCAGCAGUGGGGAAUAUUGCACAAUGGGCGAAAGCCUGAUGCAGCAACGCCGCGUAAGGGACGACGGCCUUCGGGUUGUAAACCUCUUUUAGUAGGGGAGAAGCGAAAGUGACGGUACCUGCAGAAAAAGCACCGGCUAACUACGUGCCAGCAGCCGCGGUAAUACGUAGGGUGCAAGCGUUAUCCGGAAUUAUUGGGCGUAAAGAGCUCGUAGGCGGUUUGUCGCGUCUGCUGUGAAAACUGGAGGCUCAACCUCCAGCCUGCAGUGGGUACGGGCAGACUAGAGUGCGGUAGGGGAGAUUGGAAUUCCUGGUGUAGCGGUGGAAUGCGCAGAUAUCAGGAGGAACACCGAUGGCGAAGGCAGAUCUCUGGGCCGUAACUGACGCUGAGGAGCGAAAGCGUGGGGAGCGAACAGGAUUAGAUACCCUGGUAGUCCACGCCGUAAACGUUGGGCGCUAGAUGUGGGGACCAUUCCACGGUUUCCGUGUCGCAGCUAACGCAUUAAGCG